CGUCGGCGGAACUAUGAAUGGGCAGAGAGGGGUGUUUUCUCACAGACACCAUAGCAGCAGUGAGAUGAGGAGUGCCAUUUACCCCACUGCACGUCUACUGUACUGAGAGGAGAAAAAGAGAGGGAAGGAGCUGUACAGCCAAGAAGUCUGCAAGAGAACAGAGUGAUCCAUCCUAAAGCCCCAGCAGACCUGAACUUCUGAGAAAAACCUUCAAGUCAGCUAUGGAGCAAAAGACAAAUGAGUGUCCCACCACCACCUCCCCUCAGAAGCACAUGAAAAACAGGUCUAAAUCCACAGAGGAGGUGCAACAGUCGAAGAAGGCCUUUUCCUCACAAAAAUCCCUGCCAGGCAGGCCAGAGCUGGAGAAAGUGAAGGAGUGUCCCGAUGGCUCUGACACACCAUCAUCCUCCAGUGAAGAACUAAAAUGAUAAACAACACCGAUAACAUGCCAUAAAGCAGCAACAUCAUCGUAAACACGAGACAUUAAAUGUACACAGGGGAACAUACAGAAUAGUGAGGUAGACAGAAAACUGGAAUAUGAAACAUGCAACCAUGAACUGAUGAGUUUAAGAAAAUUUAUAAAAGGAGAGAAUUGAACUAAAACACACACACACACACACACGCACACACACUAAUUUACUACUGAAGCAACAUGUAUGUAAACAGGAGGACACUUGUGAUAUAGUUUCAUUGUACCGUGAGUGGUGUAUACAUGCCAACUGAAUGUGCAGUGAC